GGCUUAUUUUGCGCUAUGGGAGGACUUGGAGAACCGUAUGCUCCACAGGCAGCGCAUUUUCAAAGACCUUGCUGAUAUGUUCCGUGAGAACACAGAGUGGCUUCUCAGCAGGUACUGCGUCUCCAAAAACAUUUUAAUGGAUUUAUGCCGUGAUUUACAGCCCAUGUUGAAGCGAAAGACAAAACGCACCAAAGCCAUCCCAGUGCACUUCCAGCUCCUGUCCACCCUGGGAUUUUUGGCCAUCAGGACAUUUCAGCGUGAGAUUGGAGACAUAUACAGCAUUUUGCAGCCAACGCUGAGCAGAUUCAUGCCGGCCGAGUUGGAAGCAAUAAUUUCUCUGGCCUCAAUUUACAUCCAGUUCCCAUACACACAUGACCAACAAGCCAAAAAAAAAAGAGAAUUUCACACCAUCGCCUGAUUCCCAAACAUAAUUGGAGCCAAAGAUUGCACCCACAUCGCAAUAAAUGCACCUUUACACAGUAAAUUCAGUUUUGUCAACAGGAAAGGAUUUCAUUUAAUCAAUGCACAAAAAGUCUGCAAUGCACGUAUGUAUCUAUUAAACAAGCCUUUCCAACCCCCUAAUGCCACUGCUAUUCAAACAAGAGAGUGAAUCAGACAGAGAUUUUAGGUAGGUCCGCCUGUUAGCCCAUCUUUAAAAACUGAGAAAUUUCGGAUCGAAAGCAUACGCUGGACAAAUAAUUUAAACAUUUUAAAGUUUAUUUGUUUAACAUUUGUGACGUGCAUGCAUUAAUCUGUUUGAGUGACUCAUUGAUUUGCAGUAAAGUAUUUGCCAUGUUGGUCAGCUGAUCCUUUAUUUUAUUUAUUGACUUGGUGGUGUCUUGCUGGUUUUUCAGCACUGCCUCCGUCAGAACCUUUGGCCCCCAAGGAUGCACCAAAUGGGUUUUGGAUGGCACUGGCUGCUCCUGUUCCUCCAACUCCCCUGGCUCUUCCACUGCCUCCAACUCCUGAGGGCAGGCGGGGCUGGCUUGAGUGUCUGAGUUAUUGAAGAAACACCACAUGAUUGGCACGUUCAUUUCAAUUCUAAUUCAGAAAUAAAACUGUCUAAAUCAAUGUUCAUGAAACACCUCAGUCCAGCUUUUAUUUUUCCUGCAGUGUGACUGGUCUAUGGUACAGUUGUUGGGAGAGUGUCCGUGUCUCCAAUGAUGAUGGCAAUGCAGGUGUCCAUUGGUAAAAGUUGAGUUGUGGUUUGUCCCCCUCCGGUUACAGAUAUCUCGUGUCUGUUGGCUGUGACUUGUAUUUUGGCUCUGAUUUUAAUAUAAUAUCAAACCAUUUCUUCUUUAUUUCAGAAAGGGAUCUUUCCUUUGACCCAACAGCAUUUACAGCAGCCGUCACUUUCUCCCAGGUGGCAGUUUUUCUGUUGUUAGUCACACCCACGUUCAGUGUUCCAAAUAAAAUUUUGUGGUUAGAUUCAACCUCUCCUACCACUACCUCAAUCUUGGCGCUAGUGAAAUUCCUCUUCUUUGAUCUCUUUGCCAUGAUUUCAACGAGAGGAAAAAAGAAUCCAUUUUUAAAGGGAUUGGUGAUACCAUAUAUGGUCAGUUGGAGGCGUUUCCGAAUGCAAAUGACCACAACCAUGCACAAGCACGGUAGUUAAGAACAAGUAAAGUGGGAUUUAUCAUCACUGAUUACUUACUAGUGUGUGUAUGACCGGUGUCCGCAUCUUUGAUAAAUACAUUUUUUUUGUACUGACGCACACUCUAGAUUUAAUUCCUAUGCCAGAAUUUAGAACUUCUUCUAAUUAAGGUUGAUAAAUGAGGUCCCUGGACUUAAGUGGGGACUUGAAGUGCAAUUUUUGCAUUUACACUUUGGGUCUUUUGUCACACUUUACUGCUUUGAUCGUUUGUUGUUAAAUUCACUUAGGGUAAACCAAAUGGAUCAAAGAUUAACUGUGAUCAAUUGCAACACUAUAGGUAAUCCUGUUUUAGUAAGAGAUGUCACUCCUGUUAUUACUCAGAUUAACACAUCUUCAAAUAUGGCAGUUUCCGGUUGCAUUGAGUAUUGUAUAAGAUUGAUUUUGCAGAAAGAAGUUUAUGUAUGACAGUUUUCAAAGUGAAGAAAGAGCUCAUUAAGAGCCCACGACCCCUGACAGUGUAUUAACCCAUAUUUCCAUGUCUACAAUGCUGGAUUACUUGAAGAUGAUUAACAUCUCUUUAACUUGUUUCAUCAUUGGUUGGCUUGUGUCUUCGUUGCAAGUUGAUUGCUGUUGCCUGUGCAAACAACAGCACUGCUCAGACCCUGCUUCACUGCCCUCAAUCAUAUUUUUAUUUCUUUUUAUGGUUAACCAAAACUCCAUCAGAAGCAAAUGGGCUGCUGUGUCAGUUUAGCUCAGUGGUUACAGCAUGCGCUCCAUACACAUGGGCCACAGUGUUCAGCACAAUGGUUGCAUGUUUGACUCUCAGCCUGGACCCUUCUGCAUAUCAUUUGUCACUCUCUACUUCCCACAUUCCCUCCGUCCCCAGCUGUUCUUCCAAAUAAUGGAGAAAACUGGCUCAAAAAAUAACCUGAAACAGAAAAAAUGGCUCCCUCCUCAGCUGCUAUGUUCUCUGCGGGUGCUCCCUGAAAACUGUCUGCAUCUCUGCACCACUGCUCAUGUCAACUUUGUUUAAAAUUUUAUGUAGUUACUGAACGGGGGAUGAUGACAAUGUUUGAAGCAAUUUUCCAAUCUCUAUGCCACGACUUUCACCAUCUGUUACUGAAAGAAACUAAAACCUUGUUUGUCUGAACCCUCCUAGUACUUAGUUACACAUAACAUCCACAUUUUCUUCCAAAUCCACUUUCCGACUGUAAAUCUCUAUCUUUUUUUUUUUUUCACCACACUCAACCUGAACCUUUCAUAAAGACAAAGACAAUGGGACCUGAUAAAAAAAAAAAAAAUUAUAUAUAGUACAGGUGAAAUUUAGGAUCCAAGGCAGGCCAUGCUGUCUCCAUCUGUAUUAUUGCAUAGUGGUGGCAUCAUGCACCAACAAAGGUGACACCAUAGGUACUUAAGCCUUCCAUGGCCUUUUUUUUUUUCUGCUGUCUUUCUUUUAUCUCAUCACCUCCACUCCUCGUCUGCAUUAAUCUUCCCUGUCUGUUCAUCUGCAGCAUUUCGCUCCUCAUCACCUCCUUUUUUCAUCUCCUGUCAAAUGAUCUCUGAGACCAGUUUGAUCCCCAGACCUGCUCCCUCCUCCUUCCCUCACGUCGAUCUGUCAGUCUCCCUCUGUUCCUCAUUGUCUGCCUCUUUUCUCUCUCUCUGUCAUUCUCAUGCUCAUCUGUCUCCUUUUUUCUCAAUCUGCCCCUCUCUUUUGUUCCUGUCAUCUUGUUACCUUACUCGUCUUUUCUCCUCUUCUGACCUUUCUGUUCAUUUUUACUCAUUCUGAUUUCCAUUUCCCCUACAUUGUAACAUUCCUGAUUUUUUUCCAACUCUCUAGUGUUUUGUGACUUUAAUAGUGCUUCUUCUCCCUCUACCCAUCAUCCACUUUUACACUCCUCUGUCUCUCGCCUUCUUUAUUUUUUGCAUUCCCAUUUGACUCUCCAUCACUCCACUGAGCCUGACUCUUUCUCACAACAUAUAAAAGAAAUCUGGCUUUUAAAAGUAACUUGCAAAAACAGAGAAAGGCCACAAAAGUUUAAGACACCAAAGUCUUGUGUUCAUGUUUUAAGUCUCGGUAAGUAUUUUAUUUUCCUGCCUGAAUCCUAGGCAUCUUCAUCCGAGGGGCCAUGGUGAGGUUGGACAAGCGCAGGAGUUUCACAGAGGUGUCUGAACUUUUGAUUCCUGUGUGAAAUAAAAAGUUAAACUUGACCUUAUUCACAAAGGUGACUUCUUUUUAGGUCACAAAACUUAAGUGUUGGCAACAUUAUAUAUUGUGCAUCAAAACAAGCCAAAUACUUUACAUUCUCUCAACUCAGAAUCAUCACAGAAGAAAAUUUGAAGACUAAACAACACAAUCAGUCAAACUGAGUAAAGGCGAGACAAUGUUUGAGCAACACAUGACUUAUUUAACCUUACGAAUAAAUGAUUGUCAGUUUUUAAAGGUGCAUAAUCAUCUCUUAGAGCCAUUACUGCUAGUUAAAAUGUCUUAGUCUCUCCUACACUUUAUGAUGUGUGGCACCUGGGUAAAGGACCUCAACUAUGAACUCACAGUCAUCAUCUGCACAACUAAGUUAAGACAGACGAUAUUAUGUAGAGGACAGACACUAGUUAAGAUACAUGUUGCAUUAAUUAUUAUUACUAUCUCAUUGUAUUUCACACUUGAUUUUGAUUUGUCAAAACCCCACUGUGACUUCAAUACCCACAAAAACCUCAAAACCAAAUUAAGGACCAUGGGAGAUAGGGUCUUCAGUGCUGCUGCCCCACGCCGAUGGAACACCCUUCCCAACACUCUGAGGGCACCACAACCCACAGUUGUAAAAACGGACUCAAAACAUUUCUCUUUAGCAGAACUUUUGAUCUCUCCUCU